rnacentral:rRNA from 1 species
GACGAACGCUGGCGGCGUGCUUAAUACAUGCAAGUCGAACGGAAAGGCCCUGCUUUUGUGGGGUGCUCGAGUGGCGAACGGGUGAGUAACACGUGAGUAACCUGCCCUUGACUUUGGGAUAACUUCAGGAAACUGGGGCUAAUACCGGAUAGGAGCUCCUGCUGCAUGGUGGGGGUUGGAAAGUUUCGGCGGUUGGGGAUGGACUCGCGGCUUAUCAGCUUGUUGGUGGGUAGUGGCUUACCAAGGCUUUGACGGGUAGCCGGCCUGAGAGGGUGACCGGCCACAUUGGGACUGAGAUACGGCCCAGACUCCUACGGGAGGCAGCAGUGGGGAAUAUUGCACAAUGGGCGGAAGCCUGAUGCAGCAACGCCGCGUGCGGGAUGACGGCCUUCGGGUUGUAAACCGCUUUCGCCUGUGACGAAGCGUGAGUGACGGUAAUGGGUAAAGAAGCACCGGCUAACUACGUG